ACUCCAUCUCAGGGGCAGUCCAGUGACUCCACGAGGCUCCGCCGCCCGCCCCCGUGUGCCUCCGCCCCACGUCGCGCCGCCGCCCGCCCCCUUCGGCCUUCGACUCCCGCGGCCCCUGCUGGCCUGCUCUGGUGGCCUUUAGGUGGAGCGCGCGCCUCCCGCUGGUUGCCGGCGCUCCGCGCGCCCGCGCCCUAAGCCCCUGACCCCGCCGUUGCGACGCACCUCCGCCCGCAGCCCCGCACCCGGUGCCGGUGGCCACCGGCCUGCGGCCCCGACGCGCUGCAGGCUCGUCCCCGCCGCGUGCACCGGGAUUUUAUAUGCAACGUGCUGGUUCUUUACAUGCACUCCUGAAUGCUUGAACCUGGAGUGAUUACAUAACUUGGUAUUCAUCAUAUAAAUGACGGGAAGAAGAUUGGCAGGGCAUGGAUAUUUGAUUCCCAGAACCCUUUACUUCAUACGAUGGCAGGCUAUGUCAUCAUUCUCAGCCGGCCAUGGACGCCGACCCAAGAAGAAGCUAUAUCACCGUGAGCCUGGUCUUGACAAAGCCAUGGACCUCCAAAAGAAGCCUGCCCUCCUCAUUCGUCUCCGUGACCUCAUUUUGGCACAAAGGAUAGGCUCAUUACUUGUACGUGACCUUGAAAAGGAGGUUGGCUUUGUCCAAAAAUGGAACUUUCUUUCACUUAUCGAGCGUCAUCCCAAUAUCUUCCAUGUCUCUGGCGGAAGCGUUUCCCGAGAGCCCAUUGCUGUCACACUUACAGAGAAGGCCAAAAAGAUAUCCAGUGAAGAGGAUCAAGCACGAGAGGUAAUGGAGCCAAUCUUGGUGAAAAACCUAAGGAAGUUACUGAUGAUGUCGAUGGACUGCCAGAUCCCCCUGGAGAAGAUUGAGUUAAUCCAAUCUGAACUGGGAUUACCUAAGAACUUCAAGAACAACUUGCUUCCAAGGUAUCCUGAUUUUUUCUCAAUCCGUGAUGUGAAGGGAUUGGACCAUUUGUGUCUGGAGAAUUGGGACUCUUCACUAGCAGUCACAGCGCGAGAGGAAAAAUUGGAUUUUGAGGGUUUCCAAAUAGGCUGUAGAGGGAUUCCUAAAGAUGGAAAUAUCUCGGGUCCUUUUGCUUUCAAGUUGAAGUACCCAGCAGGAUUUAGGCCAAAUCGGAAGUACCUUGAGGAGGUUGUCAGGUGGCAAAAGAUGGCAUUUCCUUCACCUUAUUUGAACGCUAGGCGAGUUGAGUCUGCAACGCCUCAGGCUCGAAAGCGAGCUGUUGCUGUCCUGCAUGAGAUUUUGAGCCUGACAAUGGAGAGGCGAUUGACAUCUGAUAAGCUAGACGUAUUUCACAAUGAGUACAGGCUUCCAUGCAAGUUACUUCUUUGUUUGGUGAAAAAUCAUGGCAUCUUCUACAUCACUAACAAGGGAGCAAGAAGCACUGUCUUCCUCAAGGAGGCUUAUGAGAACAGUAAUCUCAUUGAUAAGUGUCCUUUAUUGAAAUUCCAUGAGCGGUUUGCAUCUUUGAUUGGCCGACCAUGCUCGAACUCAGAUAAUCUGGUAGCAAUAUAAUUGGUGGUUGAUUUACUGGUCAGGAGACAGCUUAUCAAGCACAUUUGUGUUAGCAAUAAUCCUGUGUGUGCAUGUACCUGUCCAGGUUCAGACUUCAGAGUGUCCAGGUGCAGCCUUUAGUGUAAUAAGAUUUUCAGCUAGCAGAUUAGGGAGGAUAAUAGGCAACCACAGCAGUAAUGGCGGCAGUAACCAGGUGGUUAAGUGAGUCCUUAUUGUAGCAUGUAUCCAGCUAUACAUUGCAAGAAAAAACAUUCAGAAAAGCAGCAAGCAAUUGCAGCACCAAUGACCUGUGUAUGUGUGUGUUCUGUGCGUGAGCAAUCUGUGCUACACUGCUACCGUGAGGCCAUCUUGGCUUCGAAUUUGAACAUGUCACUACAGUUUAAGUCCUUAGUACAGUGUGCGUUUCUGUCAGCUCAGUAAGUAAAGAGAGAACUAAAGAACUGAGAAGAGCAGUGACCCAUUUUCAAAUGUAAAUCCAUCUGAGAAAUCAAGUGGCAGCUCUGCAGAUUAGACAAAAUAAUGGCUGUACCAGAAGUCACAUAUUUAUACCCACCAUUGUAGGUUUGGAUCUUAGGGGCGAUAUGGUUGGCCUAGGAAUUUUCUAGAAAGGAUUUGCUCAUGUUAUGCAGCUUAUAAUCCAAAACCAAGCCUGUUCGGUAAUGAUGCUGCUGCAGCUGCCCAGCAAUCUGCUACUGAAAUUGGGCCCUGGAGUGCAAGUUGCCACUGCUGUAUAGCUGUGCUGGUGAAAAAUCACUGCUGAACAGAAUCAAAACUAUAGCAUUCAAGUUAUUAUAUACUUUUAGUUUGCUUAUCUUGGCCUGAACCUUUCUUUCUGAUAAAUAAUAGCCAGAUGCUCAGUGUUUUGAACUGUAUCAUACUAUCUUGUGAUUCUUCUUAGUGUACUUGAUAUCUUUCUACAUCUAAGAAUGUGUCUCACUAGUAAACAGCCAUUGCUUAUCUGCUGUGUCGAUCAAUCACUUGACCCUAUGAUUAAUGGUAUUAACUCAGUCAGGUAUUGUUUCUUAGUCGGUUCUUUCUUAUGAUUAUUUCUGCAUCCAUACACAGGCAGAAAGCACAUAUAAAAUGCUACAGAUGUCGUCAGUAGCUGAAUUUGUUCAGAGUGCCAAGGUUUUAUAUAUUCAUGAAUCAUGAUAUCUGAUGUUUGCUUCGUGGUUAUCUCUCACAACCAUCCACCUACUUUUGUAUUUUUAGGAUCUGGCUGAUGAAUAGCUAGCAGUACAUCCCUUACAGUUGCAUGCCAUUUGAGAUGCCUAAGGAUAAGAAAUAGCUUCGCAUGCAACUUGCACAAUUUAGUAAUACCAUUUACUUGCAAUCCAAUUAAAGGUUAUGAGAAAGUUUUUUAGCAAUAUAAAUAAAUUUAGUGCUGGUAAUGAUAUUAUUCAUUAUGUGGAGACUUCAGCAGUACUUCCAGGGAACUUUACAACACAAAUUUUGUAUCCUCCUGUGUUGUUUGUUUUGGAUUUAACUUCGGAUAUAAUGGUAAAUUGGUAAUAAUCUAGGCCAGUACUAAUUCUCAAUCUAUUCUUUCUUAUGUCCAUAUCUUCAUCCAUACAUGGCAAUAAAGCACCUAUAAAUGCUCCGGACAUUUGCAGUAGCUGAAGUUUUGCUUCCAUCUAGCACAUCAAACUAUAUGCAAGCUUCUUUAUUCUUCUUUUGCGAGGAUCUGAAUUUGUUGACAGACCAAGCUUUUCAAUGUUCUAUGUUGAUGAUAUCUCACGAUUUAUUCAUGCUUAUGUUAUUUAGUUACUUCUGUUAUGUCUCCUGUCCGUUGGAUAAUCACUCCCACAACCCAUUCACUUAUUUUUGUAAAGCAGGAUCCGUUCACUGAAUUGCAGAAGCACAUUCUUGUAUAGUUCCACGUUUUUUUGACUUGGUAGUGGCUUUAUCUUAACUAAUUUUAUUGCCUCAUAUAGUGCUAGGUUUAGUCUUAACUUCAGAUAUUAUGUUGGAAAUUCUAGUUGCCUCAUCUAUUCUGACGUAGAUGCCAGUAAUAUGCUUCACCUUCGCCAUGUUAUACAGUCGUCCGACUAAUCGCGAUUAGUCGCGAUUAGUCGACCUUAUCGCUCCGCUGGCUUCGAUAAGUGAAACGACUAGCUUUUGUCGAUCAGAUGUCUGAUCGUCCGACUAAUCAUCACCUAAUCGCGAUUAGUCAUUCGACUAGCUACUUGGACGAUCAGGCCAAAACCAAAAGAUGUCCAGCAGACCAGCACUCCAGCCCGCCGCCUGUACUGGGCUCAAUUAGGCCCAUUAGCCAUUAGGGUUAGGUUAACUAUAUAACUUGCACCAUUAGCCAUUAGCCAUUAGCCAUUAGCCAUUAGGGUUAGGUUAACUAUAUAACUUGCACCAUUAGCCAUUAGCCAUUAGGGUUAGGUUAACUAUAUAACUUGCACCAUUAGCCAUUAGCCAUUAGCCUGUACUGUGUGGGACAAUAUGGAGUUUUGGACAGUUCAAACAUCAAAUCUCACAAGUAAGUGUCACCAAACUGACUAUCAUUGUGGUGUUCCUGCUUGCUAUAUAGUAUAUAAGUACAUAUACAUGUACAUAUAUGUCAUGGGAUAUAUAGGACGACUAUAGCGACGACUAGGGUCGACUAAUCGACCUGAUCGACGACUAGUCGCCUUAUCGGUGCCAUGGCGACUAGGUUCGACUAGACGACUGUAUAACAUUGCACCUUCGUACAUAUCUAGUUUUCCCUAUCAUUGACCCACUAAGGUUUGCAGUGCUCACUCAAAAUUUUGUCCUGUAUCAUUUGCAUCCUAUACAAUCAUCACACUUCAUGUUGCUGAUUGCCCCUUUUCUGUCUACCAAGACUUGUGCACAUGGGAUUAUUAGCCCCUCUUCUUUGUGAUGUGCUUGUAAUAGCUGGCCAGGGAACUAACAGUAGGAUCAACUGUAAGCAAUGCUGGCUUAUGAAUUAUUAUGUGAUCUAUAUCCAUCAGGAUAGGCAUGCAAUGUUUUAGAAGUUAGCAUAGCAAUCAAAUCAUUAUAGUUGAAUACUUGAAUGUAUAUCACAAUUGUCUAUGAAAAUUUAGAACCCCAAUAGUUAAGAUCUUAUGUAUUGUGUGCCUGAUGGUAUCACUUGUCAGGUUACUUUGUGGCAGGUAUAUUGUAAUAAUGUUUCUUUUUGGUGAAGGUACUGCUUUGUGUCAGAAUUGAUACAUUCUGCAGUUGUCAAAUAAAGAGAGUCUCCAACUGAGUGCUCUGACAGGCUAAUGCCAUCCUCUGAAAGCCUGUCGGUUACAUGGUUGCUUGCUGCUGAAUAAUGAUCAAUGAAAUUGGGGGUACUCACUCAGAGUUGUUGCUCUGGGACCAGAUUCUAAAAGGAUGAAAAAGAUUUAUCAAUGGCUAUCUAAAAGGAUGAAAAAGAUUUGUCAAUGGCUAUGCCAACCCCUGCAACAGGCUAAUAAUAGGCACAUGUUUGGAUCCUUUUCGUAUCCACUUCAAUAUGUUGAGUAUGUUUUGAUUUCUCAGCACCGAAGUGGAUGUCCACAAUCCACAUGGAAUGUCUUGGUGGGAGAUGCAUUACAGAUGUUCUCAGACUUCACUGCAACGCUAAACCGAGCUGUCAGUGGGAUCUGUUGGAAUAAUCAGAUGAACAUAUGCCAAGAAAAGUUCGACCGACAAAAUUAUGGGCGGUGUGGACACAUUGAGGUGAAAUCAUGCCAACUGGCUGCUGCUCAGUUUGCUGCCUGAUUAUAACCCAUGAAAGUGAGGAGCAUAUAUGGAGGUGCAGCAAUCCGGACCAGAUUCUGCAGACACCAAGAGGGCACCCAUGAUGAUAGUGGUCAUAAGACUGGUCAGAUGCACUAAAAGCUAGAUUUGGAUGGGAGUUAGUGGCUGAUAGUUUAGGCAGGCCUAUCCUGAAGUCUUACAAACAAUGGAGGGAGACUAGACACCCUUUUCAGAUCCUGCUUUUUUUCGUUCUGGGCGUCCGUUAUCUUUGUUGUUGGUUCCAAUCUUUUUCAUGUUCUUGAGAAAUAUCUUUUCUCAAGCUUGAGAGAAACUUGAUUGAUCCCGUGAAUGGCGACGGUUGAAGACCGUGUCCGCAAUUACAUUUGGCUGGCACAGAGCGCCACUGUUUGUCAUUGUUCACCUAGUGCCUAUCCAUUUGGAGGAGAGAGCACCUCAUUGAAGCCGUGCAACCAUUUCUCUUUCGCUUGCUUGAAUAAGCAAAUUGGCGCCUAGCGGGUGAAACAAUCCUCUGAUUUGAACAUUGGUGCCUGCUCAGCCAUCGCCAUCUGUCCUUCCGGAAGAAUUUGGACUGUGUAUCAGCGUCAUCCUGGAGUCUGGUUUCUUCCAACUCCUCCAGCAGCAAGUCAUUUUUAUACUUGUCUCAUCUGAAGAAAGUAAUGUGUGCGUUGAUCUAUCCUUAGAGUAGGGGUCCAUCCUGGUGUAGGCUUGCGUGAUUUAUUAGGUUCAUAUUUCACAAUCUGGGCGUACAAUCGGGCUGUCUGUCUGUCUAUCUGUCGCUCUGUACCCAACCCAUUGGUGGUGUUUGGAAGGCAGCUUCGUGAUCUUUCUUUAUCCCCGUCAUGUUGACAAGUAAAGACAUGAGCGUAUUCUUCUUCUCGCCCAUUACUGAAGAAAGCGAUUUUAUUCCAAUGUCCAUCAGGCCAAGCAUCUGGAGAGGCAGAUGAAUCAUUCUAUCUUCAGCUCACCACCAAACCCACCGGGUCCAUCCACUGAGGGACAGGCUUUGGUGCUGGAGCAAUCAUAUUCCUAUCUUAUUGGUUGGGACAAUAGCUGCUUUAUCUGAUUCAUCAUAGGUUAUAUAAACUAUAAAGAUGGUGCCGGCUGCAGUACCAUGGAGUGCAAUGGCAAAGAUAAACCAACUUUAUUCGCGGAUCAGAAGAUGGGCCAACUUUGGCGGGAAAUCAUCAAGGUCUACUAACAGCCUACCUGCGAAAAUCUAGUUGCAGUGAACAAUCAGGUUGUAGCUGUUAACAGCGGUCAGCGGGCCGAGGGCAUAUGCGUCCGUGGGGGUGGCUUGUGCGAGCUGCAUUGUGCUGUCUGUGUCUGCUUCCGAUCCGAAUGAAAUGAUGGUGGUGGUGGAGGAAGGAUCGCUGCGUGCGUGGCGUGGGGCUGCCGGCCGCGGCCGGUUUUGGUCGUGUCUGCUGCCGUGCCGCGGAUGCUGCUGCCGGGUGAAGCCAUGCGCCUGCACCUUUCUGCCAGCAGGAACGUUUCCGUAGCGUUCGGUCUCUGUAUCUUUUGCUUCCUUCAGCGUCAAUCCACCUCGCACCACAUCGCACUCCUUCCUUUUCCUUGUCCUCCUGUCCAGAUGUACUACUGUGUUCCACAUUUAUUUAUUUACUUACUACUAGUAUUUUUUAUUACAAAAAAGUGCUAAAACUCAUAAACCAGUUUUUCUACCAUUUUUUUAUUUUCUGUUC